rnacentral:rRNA from 1 species
CGUGGGUAAUCUGCCCUCGGUAUCGGGAUAGCCCGGGGAAACCCGGAUUAAUACCGGAUAGCCUCCGAAGCCCUCGGGCGUCGGAGAAAAGGUGGCUUCGGCUUCCGACUGAGGAUGAGCCCGCGGCGGAUUAGCUUGUUGGUGAGGUAACGGCUCACCAAGGCGACGAUCCGUAGCUGGUCUGAGAGGACGAUCAGCCACACUGGGACUGAGACACGGCCCAGACUCCUACGGGAGGCAGCAGUGGGGAAUCUUGCGCAAUGGGCGAAAGCCUGACGCAGCGACGCCGCGUGCGGGAAGAAGGCCUUCGGGUUGUAAACCGCUUUCAGGAGGGACGAAGCUACUCGGGUUAAUAGCCCAGAGGGUGACGGUACCUCCAGAAGAAGCCCCGGCUAACUACGUGCCAGCAGCCGCGGUAAUACGUAGGGGGCUAGCGUUGUCCGGAUUUAUUGGGCGUAAGGAGCGUGUAGGCGGCCAGGUAGGUCCGUUGUGAAAACUCGAGGCUCAACCUCGAGACGCCGGCGGAAACCCUCUGGCUAGAGUCCGGAAGAGGAGAGUGGAAUUCCUGGUGUAGCGGUGAAAUGCGCAGAUAUCAGGAAGAACACCCGUGGCGAAGGCGGCUCUCUGGGACGGUACUGACGCUGAGACGCGAAAGCGUGGGGAGCAAACAGGAUUAGAUACCCUGGUAGUCCACGCCGUAAACGAUGGGUGCUAGGUGUGGGGAGUGUCGACUCUCUCUGUGCCGAAGCUAACGCAUUAAGCACCCCGCCUGGGGAGUACGGCCGCAAGGCUAAAACU